rnacentral:lncRNA from 1 species
UUGGGCAGGCCACAAAACUUGAUACCCAAGAGCCUCUCCAAUAGUUUUAAUUUGGUUAGGAAUAGGCACAGGAAGUGGUGCAUUUGGCUCAUAAGAAGCAUCCACAACAACUAAGAAGUUAACACCACAUUCAAGUAUAAUUGUGCCAGCUGCAACUACAUUUUCCUUUGUCCCUAUGGCCAAUUGGCAUUUCCUAACCUAUAAAAUUAAACAAGAUUGUUUACUUAUAUGCAACCAUUGAAAAUUUAGAAUUUUACUAGGAAUGUAAGAGUUAGUUGAGGAAAAUUGAUUCAUCAAGGUCAAAU